rnacentral:rRNA from 1 species
UACGUAGGGUGCGAGCGUUGUCCGGAAUUAUUGGGCGUAAAGAGCUCGUAGGCGGUGUGUCACGUCGUUCGUGAAAACCUGCAGCUUAACUGUGGGCGUGCGGUCGAUACGGGCAUCACUGGAGUUCGGCAGGGGAGACUGGAAUUCCUGGUGUAGCGGUGAAAUGCGCAGAUAUCAGGAGGAACACCAAUGGCGAAGGCAGCUCGCUGGGACGGUACUGACGCUGAGACGCGAAAGCGUGGGGAGCGAACAGG